rnacentral:lncRNA from 1 species
AGAAUAAUUGGGAGGAGUCUGGCAGGAAGGAAGCCAAGUUUCCUGAGGCCCUCACCAGAAGCUCAUCAGAAGCAGAUGCUGGCACCACUCUUCUUAUGCUGUCUGCGUAACUAAUCAGUAUUUCAAGCAUCCAAAAUGUGUAGGAGAAUAUGGACCCAAGAACGGAGCAGAGAGACAAAUAGAGGAACGGAAAGUUUUGCCUACAACCAUGAUGUUCUCAAUGUUAGCUGACUGUGUUCUAAAAUCCACUCCAAUUCCCAUUUUGGGAGUUGCUAUGUGAUGAAGGUCUGCCCCUGUGGUGUUGGGACAACUUGCUCAUGGAGUUGCAGUUCUUGCCUAACAGGAACCCACCAUGAGCUGCCUCCUGCCCCUGAGGGGAGGAGUCCAUCCUCUUCUAUAGGAUACACCUGUUGGCUUGUUUGUCCUUCCUUCCCCUUUCUGGGAAUUGUUCUCCAUCAACAUGUUUAUGGGGACAGCCAUUUCUAUACAAUGUGACCUGUAUUGAUCUAUUUUGUGUUGCUAUAAAUAAAUACCUGAGGCUGGUAAUUUUUAAAGAAGAGAGGUUAAUUUGGCCCAUAAUUCUGCAGGCUGUACAAGAAGCAUGGCACCAGCAUCUGCUUCUGGUGAGGCCGCAGGAAGCUUCCACUCAUGGUGGAAGGUGGAGGAGGAGCAGGCGUGUUAUAUGGCA